CUCAAGGGGGUCUCCACCUCAGGGCUCGGCUCCUCACUUCAGGAUGUGGAGGCAUUUUGUGAGCUGUAGGGCAUGUUGGAAGAAUGACCAGCCACUCUGGUGAGAAUGUUGGAGAAUGCUGGAGCAAGGUCCAUCUCAGAGAAACACGGAGCAGGGUGACAGCAGACCCCAAGACAUGCAGUCACCAGGACAGCUUUCCAGCUCAUGGCGAACACAGAGAUUCCAGAGCAAUGGAAAUGGGCAGCUCAGCACUUAAAGGGAAGAAGAUGUCAGAUGCCACA